AUUGAACGCUGGCGGCAUGCCUUACACAUGCAAGUCGAACGGCAGCACGGGAGCAAUCCUGGUGGCGAGUGGCGAACGGGUGAGUAAAGUAUCGGAACGUGCCCAGUCGUGGGGGAUAACGUAGCGAAAGUUACGCUAAUACCGCAUACGAUCUAUGGAUGAAAGCGGGGGAUCGCAAGACCUCGCGCGAUUGGAGCGGCCGAUAUCAGAUUAGGUAGUUGGUGGGGGAAAGGCUCACCAAGCCGACGAGCUGUAGCUGGUCUGAGAGGACGACCAGCCACACUGGGACUGAGACACGGCCCAGACUCCUACGGGAGGCAGCAGUGGGGAAUUUUGGACAAUGGGCGCAAGCCUGAUCCAGCCAUGCCGCGUGCAGGAUGAAGGCCUUCGGGUUGUAAACUGCUUUUGUACGGAACGAAAAGGUUUGACUUAAUACGUUGGACUCAUGACGGUACCGUAAGAAUAAGCACCGGCUAACUACGUGCCAGCCGCCGCCGUAAGAC
rnacentral:rRNA from 1 species